CGGCGGACGGGUGAGUAACGCGUGGGUAACCUGCCUCAUACAGGGGGAUAACAGUUGGAAACGGCUGCUAAUACCGCAUAAGCGCACAGUACCGCAUGGUACGGUGUGAAAAACUCCGGUGGUAUGAGAUGGACCCGCGUCUGAUUAGGUAGUUGGUGGGGUAACGGCCCACCAAAGCGACGAUCAGUAGCCGACCUGAGAGGGUGACCGGCCACAUUGGGACUGAGACACGGCCCAA
rnacentral:rRNA from 1 species